rnacentral:rRNA from 1 species
GGUGAUAGUCCCGUACAUGAAAUAGUUUUUAUACCUAGUAGUAUCCUGAGUAGGGCGGGACAUGUGUAAUCCUGUCUGAAUCUGCCAGAACCAUCUGGUAAGGCUAAAUACUUCUGAGAGACCGAUAGUGAACAAGUACCGUGAGGGAAAGGUGAAAAGCACCCUGAAUAAGGGAGUGAAAUAGAUCCUGAAACCAUAUGCUUACAAGCGGUCGGAGCCUUCGGGUGACGGCGUGCCUUUUGCAUAAUGAGCCUACGAGUUACUCCUCGUUAGCAAGGUUAAGUAUUUAAGAUACGUAGCCGAAGCGAAAGCAAGUCUUAAUAGGGCGAUAAAGUUAGCGGGGGUAGACGCGAAACCUGGUGAUCUACCCAUGGUCAGGUUGAAGUUCCGGUAAUACGGAAUGGAGGACCGAACUGAUAUACGUUGAAAAGUGUUCAGAUGAACUGUGGGUAGGGGUGAAAGGCCAAUCAAACCAGGAAAUAGCUCGUACUCCCCGAAAUGCAUUUAGGUGCAGCGUUGAGAAUAUAGUGUCAUAGAGGUAGAGCUACUGAUAGGGCUAGGGGGCUUCACCGCCUACCAAACCCUGACAAACUCCGAAUGCUAUGACAUAUGCUCAGCAGUGAGGGCAUGGGUGCUAAGGUCCAUGUCCGAGAGGGAAAGAACCCAGACCAUCAGCUAAGGUCCCUAAAUAUAUACUAAGUUGUUUUAACGUUGUGUGAUUACUUUGACAGCUAGGAUGUUGGCUUGGAAGCAGCCAUUCAUUUAAAGAGUGCGUAACAGCUCACUAGUCGAGUGAUCGCGCGUGGAUAAUAAUCGGGCAUAAGUAUAUUACCGAAGCUAUGGAUUGUAUAUUAAAUUAUACAGUGGUAGGGGAGCAUUCUGUUCUGCGUUGAAGCAGUACUGUAAGGUAUUGUGGAGUGUACAGAAAAGCAAAUGUAGGCAUAAGUAACGAUAAAGCAGGCGAGAAACCUGCUCACCAAUAGACUAAGGUUUCCUCAGCUACGUUAAUCGACUGAGGGUUAGUCGGGACCUAAGGUUAAUCCGAAAGGAGAUAUCGAUGGAAAACAGGUUAAUAUUCCUGUACUAGUUAAUAUUGCGAUGGGGUGACGGAGAAGUGAAAGGUCUGCGCGGUGACGGAAGUCCGCGUUAAAGGGUGUAGACGUUGAUUCAGUAGGCAAAUCCGCUGAUGAGUUGAACCUGAUAGUACUAAGCGUCUUUUAGACAAUUAGAUAUGACCCUAAUCAUGCUCCCAAGAAAAACCUCUAAGCUUCAGAUAUUAACUACUCGUACCGCAAACCGACACAGGUAGUCAAGUAGAGAAUACUAAGGUGCUCGAGUGAUUCAUGGCUAAGGAACUAGGCAAAAUGGUCUCGUAACUUCGGGAGAAGAGACGCCCAUCUUCGGAUGGGCCGCAGUGAAUAGGCCCAGGCGACUGUUUAUCAAAAACACAGGACUCUGCGAAAUCGAAAGAUGAUGUAUAGGGUCUGACACCUGCCCGGUGCUGGAAGGUUAAGAGGAGGGCUUAUCUUCGGAGAAGGUCUGAAUUGAAGCCCCAGUAAACGGCGGCCGUAACUAUAACGGUCCUAAGGUAGCGAAAUUCCUUGUCGGGUAAGUUCCGACCUGCACGAAUGGUGUAACGAUCUGGGCACUGUCUCGGCCAUGAGCUCGGUGAAAUUGUAGUAUCGGUGAAGAUGCCGAUUACCCGCAACGGGACGGAAAGACCCCGUGCACCUUUACUAUAGGUUCACAUUGA